UGGUCAUUGGCGCAACUGGCAGCGCAGCGGAUUCCAAAUCCGAAGGUUGAGGGUUCGACUCCUUCAUGGCCAGCCA
rnacentral:tRNA from 1 species